rnacentral:rRNA from 1 species
UGCAGUUGAGCGGUAAGGCCCCUUCGGGGGUACACGAGCAGCGAACGGGUGAGUAUCGCGUGGGUAAUCUACCUAGAGGUGGGGGAUAGCCUCGGGAAACCGAGGGUAAUACCGCACGAGUCCUCAACGGCAUAAGUCGAUGAGGGGAAAGGCGGGGCUCCUUCGGGACCUGUCGUCUCUAGAUGAGCCCGCGUCCGAUUAGCUAGUUGGUGGGGUAAUGGCCUACCAAGGCAACGAUCGGUAGCCGGCCUGAGAGGGUGAACGGCCACAUUGGGACUGAGACACGGCCCAGACUCCUACGGGAGGCAGCAGUGGGGAAUUUUGGGCAAUGGGGGAAACCCUGACCCAGCGACGCCGCGUGGAGGAUGACGGCCUUCGGGCUGUAAACUCCUGUCAGGUGGGAAGAAAAGCCAGUCGGAUAAUACCCGGCAGGAAUUGACGGUACCACCAAAGGAAGCCCCGGCUAACUCCGUGCCAGCAGCCGCGGUAAUACG